rnacentral:rRNA from 1 species
UACAGAGGGGGCAAGCGUUAUUCGGAAUUAUUGGGCGUAAAGGGCGCGUAGGCGGCUUGGCAAGUGGAUGGUGAAAUCCCUCGGCUUAACCGAGGAACUGCCGUCCAAACUGCUUCGCUUGAGACCGGGAGAGGUGAGUGGAAUUCCCAGUGUAGCGGUGAAAUGCGUAGAUAUUGGGAGGAACACCGGUGGCGAAGGCGGCAUCCUGGACCGGUAUUGACGCUGAGGCGCGAAAGCCAGGGGAGCAAACGGG